rnacentral:rRNA from 1 species
UACGUAGGUGGCAAGCGUUAUCCGGAUUUACUGGGUGUAAAGGGCGUGUAGGCGGGAGGGCAAGUCAGACGUGAAAUUCCAGGGCUCAACCCUGGAACUGCGUUUGAAACUGUUCUUCUUGAGUGAUGGAGAGGCAGGCGGAAUUCCGUGUGUAGCGGUGAAAUGCGUAGAUAUACGGAGGAACACCAGUGGCGAAGGCGGCCUGCUGGACAUUAACUGACGCUGAGGCGCGAAAGCGUGGGGAGUAAACAGG